CUCUCUCUCUCUCUCUCUCUCUCUCCCAGCAGGACGUGGAGAUGAUGUGGAUACGGUGGGACAUCGGUCAGGAGGGGAUAUUCUGUCCAUUAAGAAGGAGCGUUGAAGGGAUCCUUUGUGUCCAUCCAUUCCUCUGUAUUUAGAGACUUCCUGCUGAAGCCAGAACUGCUGAGGGCUAUUGUGGACUGUGGCUUUGAGCAUCCCUCUGAGGUUCAGUAUGAGUGCAUCCCCCACAGACAAUCCUGGUUGUGGAUGUGCUGUGCCAGGCCAAGUCUGGUAUGUUGUUCUGGCCUCCCUACAGCAGCUGGAGCCUGUCACUAGACUGAGACGUCCAGGAGAUACUCCGUCUGAACCGCCCAUAAGAAACAGGUCAUGAUGUUCUGCCAAGAGAUCCGCAAAGAGAUCCACCCCAUCUGCCGAAUGUUCAUGCAAGAUGUAAUCACACCUCCUCUCCUCCUGUAUCCACCAUGCCUCUCUCUCCUCACCACACCUCCACCCAUCCCUCCUGCCUGGUGGAACGAGGGGUGAGGGGCGCCCCUACGGCCGCCUGAGUCUGAUAUGGGUGAUAAAGUGAUGUCUUUCUAUAUGCCAAACAGACCCAACUCUGUAAGUGUAACAGUAUAACUUUAGACUGUCCCCUCGCCCAUACCCAGGCGCGAACCAGGGACCCUCUGCACACAUCAACAACAGUCACACACGAAGCAUCGUUACCCAUCGCUCCACAAAAGCCGCGGCCCUUGCAGAGCAAGGGGAACUACUACUUCAAGGUCUCAGAGCAAGUGACGUCACCGAAUGAAACGCUAUUUAGCGCGAACACCGCUAACUAAGCUAGCCGUUUCACAUCCGUUACAGGGGAAGUGUCAGCCCAGUGACAUAGUUCUAUGUUGAUGGUCUAUGUCACUAACUCAGUACAAUAAUAACUUACGGUUACUAGUGUAGUGGCUAACCUUUCACCAACAUGUCAUGCAUUGCGUUAAUGGGAUCUCAGUUAUAGACUGGUUUAUGUUGUUCGCCUUGAAAUCUACGCAGUCUUUCUUAACUUCAUGGCGAUGUUGAACGUUGUCCGGCAGGCGCAAAUAGGUCCAGUUUUCAGUCUGUACGUCACAAGUCGGACCUCCCUGAUGUCACGAUGCUUUCGUUCAAAAGCAGUUAAAUAAUCUUGUAAUCUAGCCGAGCAAAAGCAAUAUGUCACGACUCCUAAUCUUCCACCUUUUUUAAAAUGUAUUUAUGAAGGAAACUGCUUUACCAGCCUGGCAUGAGUGUGUACGUUCUGCUCCGAGCUGCUCGUUAAACCCCCCCCCCCCAGCUCACUGCCCUGUAGUUAAGAGAGGACUCUCCCUGGAGCUGGAGCCACUCAAACCACAGGCACAUCUCUCUGAGGAGAGAAAGACACAUUUCAGAAAAUAUAAAUUAUCUCAAAGAACCUCAGUCAAACGAAAUGAAACGAGCAACACGAUAAAUGAGGAGGAAGACUUGGCACCGGGGAGAGUAGACGAAGUGGACGCUGCCUGGCUCUCUGGCUCGCUGCAGUUCAUUAGUUUCCCCAACAAAGUGGUAAAAAAGAGCAGUGAAAUUGCCUGGGUCCGCCGAGUCGAUCCAAAAUGCCCCAUUACCUCUGUCAGCUAGUCUGCUUUUAAAUGGAAUUGAGGUAACUGUCUGGAGAUGGCUAGAUAAUGACUGUCUCACGAGGGAAAAUGGCCGCUAUUCUGUCCUUAAGCUGCUACCCAAGCAUCUUGACACCUUGGUAAUAAAUCACAGAUUGAACCUUGUCUAAGACACUGUCCAGACAGAGGGGUCACAACCCACCGUCCAGACAGAGGGGGUCACAACCCACCGUCCAGACAGAGGGGGUCACAACCCACUGUUCAGACAGAGGGGUCACAACCCACCGUCCAGACAGAGGGGUCACAACCCACCGUCCAGACAGAGGGGGUCACAACCCACCGUCCAGACAGAGGGGUCACAACCCACCGUCCAGACAGAGGGGGUCACAACCCACCGUCCAGACAGAGGGGGUCACAACCCACCGUCCAGACAGAGGGGGUCACAACCCACUGUCCAGACA